rnacentral:rRNA from 1 species
CCUACGGGAGGCUGCAGUCGAGAAUCAUUCACAAUGGGGGAAACCCUGAUGGUGCGACGCCGCGUGGGGGAAUGAAGGUCUUCGGAUUGUAAACCCCUGUCAUGUGGGAGCAAAUUAAAAAGAUAGUACCAGAAGAGGAAGAGCCGGCUAACUCUGUGCCACCAGCCGCGGGAAUACAGAGGUCUCAAGCGUUGUUCGGAAUCGCUGGGCGUAAAGCGUGCGUAGGCCGUUUCGUAAGUCGUGUGUGAAAGGCGCGGGCUCAACCCGCGGACGGCACAUGAUACUGCGUGACUAGAGUGAUGGAGGGGGAACCGGAAUUCGCGGUGUAGCAGUGAAAUGCGUAGAUAUCGAGAGGAACACUCGUGGCGAAGGCGGGUUCCUGGACAUUAACUGACGCUGAGGCACGAAGGCCAGGGGAGCGAAAGGGAUUAGAUACCCUAGUAGUC